rnacentral:rRNA from 1 species
UCGUAAGCUGUCGUUGGUGACCAGCGGAGGGAUCAUUACCGAGUUUACAACUCCCAAACCCAAUGUGAACGUUACCAAACUGUUGCCUCGGCGGGAUCUCUGCCCCGGGUGCGUCGCAGCCCCGGACCAAGGCGCCCGCCGGAGGACCAACCAAAACUCUUAUUGUAUACCCCCUCGCGGGUUUUUUUAUAAUCUGAGCCUUCUCGGCGCCUCUCGUAGGCGUUUCGAAAAUGAAUCAAAACUUUCAACAACGGAUCUCUUGGUUCUGGCAUCGAUGAAGAACGCAGCGAAAUGCGAUAAGUAAUGUGAAUUGCAGAAUUCAGUGAAUCAUCGAAUCUUUGAACGCACAUUGCGCCCGCCAGUAUUCUGGCGGGCAUGCCUGUCCGAGCGUCAUUUCAACCCUCGAACCCCUCCGGGGGGUCGGCGUUGGGGAUCGGCCCUGCCUUGGCGGUGGCCGUCUCCGAAAUACAGUGGCGGUCUCGCCGCAGCCUCUCCUGCGCAGUAGUUUGCACACUCGCAUCGGGAGCGCGGCGCGUCCACAGCCGUUAAACACCCAACUUCUGAAAUGUUGACCUCGGAUCAGGUAGGAAUACCCGCUGAACUUAAGCAUAUCAAUAAGCGGAGGA